AACAAAGAAGUAAAAAUUACAUUUAGUUUCGACCUAAAAUUAAGGAAUAAACCUCAUGUUU
rnacentral:tRNA from 1 species